rnacentral:rRNA from 1 species
UACAGAGGGUGCAAACGUUGCUCGGAAUCAUUGGGCGUAAAGCGCUCGCAGGUGGUCCGCUGCGUCGUGCGUGAAAGACCCCGGCUCAACUGGGGGAUGUCGUGCGAUACGGGCGGACUGGAGGCCAGUAGGGGGAUGCGGAAUUCCGGGUGUAGUGGUGGAAUGCGUAGAGAUCCGGAGGAACACCAGCGGCGAAGGCGGCAUCCUGGACUGGUCCUGACACUCAGGAGCGAAAGCGUGGGGAGCGAUCCGG